GGUGGGGGGGAGGGUCCCUCAGCCCAGAUUUUGAGAGGGAGCAGGCCAGGCCGAGGGACCCCACUUGUGCAUG
rnacentral:pre_miRNA from 1 species